AAAAAAAAAAAAAAAACAAUGAGUUUUUGUACCAAACUCAUAAGACAUUAUUCUGAGAAAUUUUGUCUUAGCUGUAAAUUGUUGUGUCUCAAUCUGUUUGCAUUCUUUUUUGGCAUCAAGAUUAGGUUUUGAAGCCAAUGAAGCUUCUUUUUCUUUUUUUACCUUUUGAACUUAAAAAGUGGUUAUUUUGUUUCUGUAUAUUAUCCAACAAUUAAUUUUGGUUUCAUAGUUUCAAAAGCCUCUUCUUUUUCAUUAUUGGCAGGACUACAACUCUUCCAGCAUUCUUUGUUUUUGGAAAAGCUUCAACUGGUGUGUCCAAUUGUGUAAAAAAAUUAUCAGAUCAUGCUAUGAGAAACGACAAACCUGUCUUGGUCCCCUUUGGGCUAGAAUAUGCACAUUUAAUAUAGCAUAUAAGAUAUGAAGUGGUAGAAGCAUGUAUGAAUAGCUCUAGAUUAGAAAUCCAAUUUGCUGAAACUAUGUCUUCGGACGUGAAUCCAUCAGAAUCUCGUAAGAUCUCCAAUGGGAGCUUGGAAGCAGCUAGUGUCUUCUCUGAUGAUAAAUGUAUCAGGACAGUAGUUGGUAAUAGAUAUACCAUUGGAGGCUUGGUCAGGGAAUUGCAUGAGGAACACAAAAUGGAGGACUACUUGUUUUUUUGGAUUGGUUGUGGAAAUGCUGCAUUUGCAAGUGUUGUACUGACAUUAAAUGGUUGUGAAAUAGAUAUGAUGCAAAGUCAAAUUGCAUGGUGAUAGACUUAUCUCAACAAAGAAGAAUUCUUAAGCAUAGAUGUUACCUGGUCAAGAGAAGGCAAAGGAUGUGAACAUUGUUGGUUUUCUGGUUGGAACUCUUGGUGUAGGUGCUUUAAAUAAGAUUGUGAAACCAGCCAGAAGAUUGAGGAGAACGUAGGAAAGUGAUUGAAUAGGAACACAAAGAAGAAAAAUGGCAUAAAACUAUGCUCAAGCUUAUCCAUCCGAGUUUACACCAAACAAGGAUCAGCCAUCUAAGGAUGAACCUGCUCAAGGUUUGAUGCUGAGAUAUGGUCCUGUAAAGUAAAUACUUUUUAGCAUUUGUAUUCAGUUCUAUUUAGAAGUGGCCCUUUUCUAGGCCAUUGGGUGAUUGAUGAGAGUUCAUCUAUGCCUUUGUAUGUGACAAUUUCCUAUAAUUUACUGAUGUUUAUGGAGCUAUCUAUUUCUUUUUUCAUA